ensembl:lncRNA
AAGUUACACAUCAUGUUCAUAUUGAUUGAUUGAUUGAUUGAUUGAUCAUACUUUAUUCAUCCUGAGGGAAAUUGGGUUAAGGCUGCCAGCCGUGCCAGUGCCGUCUUACCCUUCCGACCAUACAUACAUUACACUGAAUAAAGGGGACUGGCCAUCUCUUGGAUUCAUGCAAGCAUCUUGCAUGAAUUUAACACAAUUGCCUCAUGUUUUAAGGUUAAAUGUAACUAUAUAGUGUAAAAACUACAUGAUAUGCAGAAAGGGUGUAUUCAAUUGUUCAUAUCAUGUUCAGUUGAAGUAAGUCAAUAAUAUAGCAACGUUAAAUCUCGUGAAACCACGUGUGAUUUCAUCUCGCGGGCUUUGGAUCGUGGUUUAAAAAAGGCAUCCAGCUCUGUCAAGUCGAGCAGUCAACUCUACCUUUUUUGGUAUGUCUUGAUUUUUUUUUAAUUAAUAUUUACCAUAUUUCAGUCAAAUAUAGUUAAACGUCUAGAGUGUCGCCAUGUAACAUGCUAAAAAAGAGCCGUUAGCUUAUUUGCUGUUUUAUCUGUUGUCAAAGAAUUGGCGCUUUUUCAUUUGAACUUGUCUUUGGCACAAGAGCCAUGAUAUCACAUUAAACCUAAUUACGAGGCGCUCAUAACAUAAUUUGGUUUUCUUUGUGACUAGAUUUGCCAACUUCUUCUUCAGUUACAUUGUGUAUUUACUGCUUCGUGGUGUUAGUGAGAUUUUGGACAUUGAACAGCUUUAGAUAACAUCAUCAGCGGCAUUAUGCUAACUUACAUCCCUACCCCUCCUGCCCUGACCUGCUGUUCUUUUGUUUUUUUGCUGCACAUAGAGAGAUGACCUCUAUUCUGCAUUUCACCAGGAGUCAGCUGAUGGACUGUGGGUUCAAGGUGUUAUGAUAAAAUGCAACAUUACAGUGCAUCCCAACCAUGCCUUUACAGUCAAGGUUUCUGACGGAGCUGAGUUUCUCUCUGACAGUCUGCUGAGAGUGUUUGCAAAGUGAUCGGGGGAACAGGCCACAAAGCUAAAGGAUGUAGCUGCCAUGAUGACAUUAAGGAUGACAUUAAUGCUCGAAGGGAGUCCCUCAUCAAAGUGCUCCGCAUCUGUGUGAAAGACAAUUGCAACAUCUUGGUGCAGGAGUUCAUGGACUUGACUGAGGCCACUGCACAGAUUGAGAAAACCACAGUGAACAUCUAUCUCCAGAGAUGCGCCAGGCAAUGACUUUUCUGAUGUUGGCAUCAUCAUCGAGGGUAUGGUAGUUCUUCAAGAUCUGGAUAACGUGACCUUUGCAGUAGCCAUGCUGUUUGGACCUUUUUUAUUCAUUCAAUAAGAGUUACCCAUCACAACUCUGCUACACUUUUGAGGUGAUUCAAAGGAUGGUAAUGGAGUUGGACGCAACUCAGCUCUCAAGAAAAGCUCACAACUAAGACAAAACUGCUCCUGCAAGGAAAGCUCACUGUUAUGCAUGUGAGGUGAUCACCUCUAGGUGAGAGGACAUUUAAAUCUCACACUUGUUCUGCUGCAUUUUGGAAGCUCAAUUCCAGGAACAGAUCGCAGGGUUUAUUU